CAGUGACGGCAAAAAACAACACUUCUCCGAUGACGGAUCGAACAGGGCGCACAGCUUGCAACAACAUAUUCAUCAGCUGACUAUUGUUUAUCACUCGGGCAUCUCUUUAACUAUCUAACGUGUUGCGGAUUCACUCCAAGUGUGAAACAGCUCACGGUCGCACCCGGCUUUGUUGUCAAUCAGCUGUUUACGUAAACAAUGUAAGCUCGCGAUACCCGACAAACCAAUUUGGGUGCAUUUCCUUCAGACAGUAAAUUAAUCUGUCGGCAAAUAUGGCGUGUUAAUUGACGUCCAUUAGUGGUUGUUAAGUGGAAUAUAAACAUAUUUAUACCAACGUUUCUUCCAGAAACUGCAAGCACGGAAUGUACUCGGGAUAAACUAUUUUAAUUCACAAUCAGUGAUAUUUUUUAAACUUAAUUUGAUUUGUAAUCGAAAACUAGCCGAGGUUACAAUAAAAAUGGUUAGUAGAAUAUAA